GGCACCUUCGCGGCAGAUGGUUCCCGGCCAAGCCACGCGCGGCCGGGUGAAAAGGGAAUACGGUGUGGUGUAGGCAUCAGCCGCCAAAUCCGUAACUGCCCCCGCAACUGUAAGCGGCGAGCACCCCCCGGCAACCACUGGCCCCGACCGCGGGGCCGGGAAGGUGGGGAAGCCACGACCCGCAAGUCAGGAGACCUGCCAUCAGCGUCAUCAACCGC
rnacentral:ncRNA from 15 species